UAGAGUUGAUCAUGGCUCAGGACGAACGCUGGCGGCGUGCUUAACACAUGCAAGUCGAGCGGUAAGGCCCUUCGGGGUACACGAGCGGCGAACGGGUGAGUAACACGUGASCMMYCYSCCCYCCACAUCGGGAUACCCCCCGGAAACGGGAGCUAAUACCGGAUACGACCACUUCAGGCAUCUGAUGGUGGUGGAAAGUUCCGGCGGUGGAGGAUGAGCUCGCGGCCUAUCAGCUUGUUGGUGGGGUAAUGGCCCACCAAGGCUUCGACGGGUAGCCGGCCUGAGAGGGUGACCGGCCACACUGGGACUGAGACACGGCCCAGACUCCUACGGGAGGCAGCASUSSGGAAUAUUGGACAAKGGGCGAAAGCCUGAUCCAGCAACGCCGCGUGAGGGAUGACGGCCUUCGGGUKGUAAACCUCUUUCAGCGCAGASGAAGCGAAAKUGACGGUAUGCGCAGAAGAAGCMCCSGCCAAYUACGUGCCAGCCGCCGCGGUAAUUC
rnacentral:rRNA from 1 species